UGAAGAGGAGGGCUUCGCAGGCGAUUUGACCAGUGAGACAUAUCUGCUCAUGACAGCACCAGUUUACUUC